UCUCCGUUGGUGAACCAGCGGAGGGAUCAUUACCGAGUUUACAACUCCCAAACCCCUGUGAACAUACCAUUUGUUGCCUCGGCGGUGCCUGCUUCGGCAGCCCGCCAGAGGACCCAAACCCUUGAUUUUAUACAGUAUCUUCUGAGUAAAUGGUUAAAUAAAUCAAAACUUUCAACAACGGAUCUCUUGGUUCUG
rnacentral:misc_RNA from 1 species